rnacentral:tRNA from 1 species
GGCCUCGUGGCCUAGAAGUAAGGCGUUGGUUCCGGCGAGGGGUCUCACUGAGGAGUCUUCGGGAUCGCCAAAGAUCGCGGGUGCAAAUCCCGUCGGGUCGG